UAUUAGGUUGGUGCAAAAGUAAUUGAGGUUUUUGCCAUUGAAAAUAAUGGCAAAAACCUCAAUUACUUUUGCACCAACCCGAUA
rfam:Chlorocebus sabaeus isolate 1994-021 chromosome 5, whole genome shotgun sequence.